rnacentral:rRNA from 1 species
UGGGGAAUAUUGCACAAUGGGGGAAACCCUGAUGCAGCGACGCCGCGUGAACGAAGAAGGUAUUCGUAUCGUAAAGUUCUGUCCUAUGGGAAGAUAAUGACAGUACCAUAGAAGAAAGCUCCGGCUAAAUACGUGCCAGCAGCCGCGGUAAUACGUAUGGAGCGAGCGUUGUCCGGAAUUAUUGGGCGUAAAGGGUACGCAGGCGGUUUAAUAAGUCGAAUGUUAAAGAUCGGGGCUCAACCCCGCAAAGCAUUGGAAACUGAUAAACUUGAGUAGUGGAGAGGAAAGUGGAAGUCCUAGUGUAGUGGUGAAAUACGUAGAUAUUAGGAGGAAUACCAGUAGCGAAGGCGACUUUCUGGACACAAACUGACGCUGAGGUACGAAAGCGUGGGGAGCAAACAGG